rnacentral:misc_RNA from 1 species
AGAGAAAGCAAAUAGUUCAUUUGAGAGGAACUAUUACGUUCUUGGAUAACUUGAAAUGGUGGAAAGUGUUGUUUUCUUUUUCUAUGCUGUCCAGCACCCGCGUUGAAUGUUCAUUAUAAACUUGAAUUUCAGUUUUCUUCUUUGAUUUCACUCUAUUUUAUAUUCUGUGAUGUGAUAUAAUUUUUGUUGUAGAAUAGUCAGUUCUAUAUAGUGUUGGUAAAAUUAGAUUGAUGGUGAGAUGGUGAUUCCUUGCUGAAUUUCUGAAAUGUGUGUGAUAUAAUCCUUGAAUGCUCAGGCAAAGCCCAUGAAGAAUGUAG